AUAAACCGCAUAAGCGCACAGCUUCGCAUGAAGCGGUGUGAAAAACUCUGGUGGUAUACGAUGGUUCCGCGUCUGAUUAGCUAGUUGGUGGGGUAAUGGCCUACCAAGGCAACGAUCAGUAGCCGGCCUGAGAGGGUGAACGGCCACAUUGGAACUGAGACACGGCCCAAACUCCUACGGGAGGCAGCAG
rnacentral:rRNA from 1 species